AUGGGCUGAUUAGUUGAGUCAUUUAUUGAUUCAGGAAUAUUUGUCGAGCCUCAACAAUGUACCAAACACUAUGCUGGUUACAGAAAUAAAGAGAGAAACACAUUCUGUCCUCAAGGGGCUCCUAAUCAAGUAGGGGAGAGAAGCAAUGUCUGUAUAUUAAUGAAUCAAAUCAAGGUGACAAAGAUAAGGCUUCAGAACCCAGGAGACAAAGUGUUUGAGGUAGGUCAUUAUUCUGUCUGUGUGUUGCGGGGUGUGUGGGCAAGGGUGAGGCGUGUGGGGUGGUGUGGAUAUGGUGUGCAUGGGCCUCUGUGUGUGUAGGUUAUGUGUAUGUGGUGUGUGUGGUGUGGGGAGUGUGUUUGUGUAUGGGAGUGUGUAUGUGUCUGUGGUGACAGUGGUGAAUAUGUGUGUGGGUAUGGUAGUGAUGGUACUAGGUGGUGUUUAGUGCAUGUCCUGUGAGAAUUGUGUGUAGGUAUAGGGAUGUGUGUGUAUAGUGGUGAUGGUGGUGUGUGGUGUGGGGGGGUGUGUGUGGUGGAGAGAGUGUGUGUAUGAGAGUGUGUAUGUAGUGAGUGAUGGUGGUGAAUGUGUGUAGUGGUGAUGGUGGUGUUUGUGUGGUGUGGGGUGUGUGUGUGUAGUGGUGAUGGUGGUGUUUGUGUGGUGUGGGGGGUGUGUGUGUGUGGUGAGUGGUGGUGAAUGUGUGUGUAGUGGUGAUGGUAUGUGUGGUGUGGGGGGUGUGUGUGGGGGGUGAGUGGUGGUGGUGUAUGUUUGGUGUGUGUGGUGUGUGGUGGUAAAUGUGUGUGUAGUGGUGAUGGUAUGUUUGUGUGGUGUGGUGUGUGUGUGUGUGGAGUGGUGGUGAAUGUGUGUGUGUAGUGGUGAUGGUAUGUGUGGUGUGGGGGUGUGUGUGUGUGUGGUGAGUGGUGGUGGUGAAUAUGUGUGUGUAGUGGUGAUGGUGGUAUGUUUGUGUGGUGUGUGUGUGGUGUGGGGUGUGUGUGUGUGGUGAGUGGUGGGGUGGUGGUGAAUGUGUGUGUAGUGGUGAUGGUAUGUUUGUGUGGUGUGGUGUGUGUGUGUGUGGAGUGGUGGUGAAUGUGUGUGUGUAGUGGUGAUGGUAUGUGUGGUGUGGGGGGUGUGUGUGUGGUGAGUGGUGGUGGUGAAUAUGUGUGUGUAGUGGUGAUGGUGGUAUGUUUGUGUGGUGUGUGUGUGGUGUGGGGUGUGUGUGUGUGGUGAGUGGUGGGGUGGUGGUGAAUGUGUGUAGUGGUGAUGGUGGUGUUUGUGUGGUGUGGGGGGUGUUUGUGUGGUGUGGGGUGUGUGUGUGUAGUGGUGAUGGUGGUGUUUGUGUGGUGUGGGGGGUGUUUGUGUGGUGUGGGGUGUGUGUGCGUGGUGAGUGGUGGUGGUGAAUGUGUGUAUAGUGGUGAUGGUGUUUGUGUGGUGCGGGGUGUGUGUGUGUAGUGGUGAUGGUGGUGUUUGUGUGGUGUGGGGGGUGUGUGUGUGUGUGUGGUGUGGGGUGUGUGUGUGUGGUGAGUGGUGGUGGUGAAUGUGUGUGUGGUAGUGAUGGGGCAGGCUGAGGGCUGAGCCAGAGAAGGCAUGGAGAUGAGACAACUCCAGAGGGUAUGUAAGGGGAGGUGAGUGGUGGGAGGUGAGCUAGGAAGGCAUUUUUAAUGUUGACCCAUACUCUCUAAUCAAGACAAUGACAGUUUUGCAGCUGUUCCUCUUCCUAAGCUCAUGUGAGGAUUUUGGGUUAGAAUCACUGUGUUCUUCUCCGCAGGCCGAAGCUCCCUAGCGCUGGGGCCUCCACUCUGGGAAGGGCCCUGUGGGUGAAUCUCUGAGCGUUUACUGGGCUCCUUCUCUACCUGGGCUGCCGCACCCAGAACAGUUCUUAGAGUUUCCAGCCUCCUGAGCUCGCGGAAUAGCAAAGGUGGGUUCUACUGGACUUGGGGCAGAGGAGGUCUAAAUGUGAGAAUCCCUGAGGCAAAUGUUAGAAGAAAGGGCAGUGCGGCCGGGCAGGGGAUCUCCAGCUCUCUCACAAUGCAUGGCUGCCCUGGCUAGAUCUGGGCUGUGUGGAGCUGUUUAAACAACGAACAAGGGGCCAGGCACGGUGGCUCACGCCUGUAAUCCCAGCACUUUGGGAGGCCAAGGCGGGAUGGAUCACCCGAGUUCAGGAGUUUGAGACCAGUCUGGCCUAUGUGG
rnacentral:lncRNA from 10 species